rnacentral:miRNA from 6 species
UGCUAUGCCAACAUAUUGCCAUC